GACGAACGCUGGCGGCGUGCUUAACACAUGCAAGUCGAACGGAAAGGCCCUGCUUUUGUGGGGUGCUCGAGUGGCGAACGGGUGAGUAACACGUGAGUAACCUGCCCUUGACUUUGGGAUAACUUCAGGAAACUGGGGCUAAUACCGGAUAGGAGCUCCUGCUGCAUGGUGGGGGUUGGAAAGUUUCGGCGGUUGGGGAUGGACUCGCGGCUUAUCAGCUUGUUGGUGGGGUAGUGGCUUACCAAGGCUUUGACGGGUAGCCGGCCUGAGAGGGUGACCGGCCACAUUGGGACUGAGAUACGGCCCAGACUCCUACGGGAGGCAGCAGUGGGGAAUAUUGCACAAUGGGCGGAAGCCUGAUGCAGCAACGCCGCGUGCGGGGUGAUGGCCUUCGGGUUGUAAACCGCUUUCGCCUGUGACGAAGCGUGAGUGACGGUAAUGGGUAAAGAAGCACCGGCUAACUACGUG
rnacentral:rRNA from 1 species